ACUGUGCUUUGCUUAUAACAUCAGCAGGAUGUGGAGGUGUUUGAGCUACAAUAACUCAUUUUGUAUUUCGUUGAUGUUCAGGAAAACAUGUGGUGUUUGACAAUUCGGUAUCUCUUUCUGUGGUCUUUCAAGUCUCUGACCUUCAUUUUCUCCUGAGGAAAAACCCAGGCAGCACAAGUCCAUUCUGUGAAUGUUUCCUGCUCCAACCUGUGACACCAGAGAGCUUACGCUGUGAGCCAAUGGUAAAGAAUUCCUGGAAGUCCAGUUCCAUCCUGCACACUAUCCUCACCCUAGAGAAAUCACAGGAUGCAACAGAGACACAACUGAGCACACCAAAUUUGACAGUAAAAGAAAGGAGGACUGUCCCCAUCUUCAGAGAAGCUCACAAAGCGCAGCACAGAAGGAAAGGCAGAAAAUAGACAGAUACCAAGCAUAAGUGUUAGUGCCUCUCGUGUUUCCAAG